GGUGAACCAGCGGAGGGAUCAUUACCGAGUUUCAACUCCCAAACCCCUGUGAACAUACCUAUACGUUGCCUCGGCGGAUCAGCCCGCGCCCUGUAAAACGGGACGGCCCGCCCGAGGACCCUAAACUCUGUUUUUAGUGGAACUUCUGAGUAAAAGAAACAAAUAAAUCAAAACUUUCAACAACGGAUCUCUUGGUUCUGGCAUCGAUGAAGAACGCAGCAAAAUGCGAUAAGUAAUGUGAAUUGCAGAAUUCAGUGAAUCAUCGAAUCUUUGAACGCACAUUGCGCCCGCCAGUAUUCUGGCGGGCAUGCCUGUUCGAGCGUCAUUUCAACCCUCAAGCUCAGCUUGGUGUUGGGACUCGCGGUAACCCGCGUUCCCCAAAUCGAUUGGCGGUCACGUCGAGCUUCCAUAGCGUAGUAAUCAUACACCUCGUUACUGGUAAUCGUCGCGGCCACGCCGUUAAACCCCAACUUCUGAAUGUUGACCUCGGAUCAGGUAGGAAUACCCGCUGAACUUAAGCAU
rnacentral:rRNA from 1 species